rnacentral:lncRNA from 10 species
UUGAUUUUUCCUGUGAAAAAUUGUUUUAAGCCUUUUAUCUCUACUAAGGUGAAUUUUAGUACAUUGCAUUUUUCAAGGAUGCUAUCCAAUUAUUUAAUUUUUCAAAUAUAUUUGUAUAGAGUCAAACAAAAUAGUCUGUAAGAAUCUUUUAAAAUUUACUUUGUUUCAAGGUUAUUUCCCCCAUAACAUUUUUAAAUUCAUAUAUCUGUGCUUUCUCCUUUUUUUUCUGAGUUAGAUUAGGUGGUAGUUUAUCUAGUUUAUUAAUUUUUCCUCAAGAACAAGCAUUUUGAUUGAUUUAUCAAUUUUGUUAUAUUUUUGCUUGCUGUUUUAUUAAUUUCUACUUCUAUAUUUUAAAAAAUUUUUCUUCUGCUUCCCCCAUCCCCUACCUACUUUUCUGAGUUGGGAAUUUAAUUCAUUUAUUUUUAUUUAUCUAAGUAUCAUAAGUAUGUAGAGCUAUGUAUUUUCCUAUAGUCACUGUUUUAAUUGUAUCUCAUAAAUGUCUUAGGAAGAGUUCAUGAAUAUUUUCUGAGUUUCCAUCUGUAUCAAACUGUUUCCCUAUAGGCUUGGUACUUUAAAAACAGUCUGCCUACAUAUAACACUCUGGGCUCAUAUUUUCCUUUUUUGAGUUUCUUAAAACUGUUCUUGCACAGUUUUCUUGCUUUGUAUGCUGUUUUAUGAUCUUAUUUCCUUUGUAAGUGAUUUGGCCUUUUUUGCUUGGAUGCCCAGAAGAUUGCUUGUAUAUAUUUAAUGUCUAAUAGGCCUAUUAUACUGUGUCUUAGAUGUAUGUCUAUAUAUUACAAUUGACCAUUCUGGGUUAGUCUUCUUAGGUACACAAAUAUAUCCAAGUUUUCUUUUAUUUAUACAAAGUUUUAUUGGAUUGUGGUUUAAUAUGUGAUUAAAUAUGUGAUUUCUCUCAUUUCAUUGUUUUUGUUUUUCUUGCCAGAAACCCAAAUGAUAAUGCCCAGUCUUCUUUCUCUCUGAUGGUUUUCACCUUAUUUAUUUUGUUUUCAUUUUCUUGGAAUUUUUCAUAUAUUUUUAAACUUCUGCUUUGAGAGAAAUCAAUUUUCUCUUGAGUACUUUGAAAUUAUUCUUCCUACAUAAGAUGUUUUUGCCUUUUUCUUUAAUUUCCCUCCUGGGGACUAUCUUUUUUUCGUAUAUUACUUUAUUUAAUUCUGCUUUUCUGAUUUAACAUUUUUUCUUUUUGCAAAAUAUUUGUUUAAAAUAUUUAAUUCAAGAUGGGGUGUUAUGUUACAGAUUGUUUUCAGAGCCUCCAGUUAAAUUGGGGUUCCAGCACCUGUGUGGAUAGCUAAGGGGAAAUGAAGGGGAGCUGGAUAUGGUUGUUUACAAGGUGUCUUUCACGGGACACAUCUUUUACCUGGCAGACAGCCUAGUGUCUAGUUGUCUAACCUGUGACCAGGAAGAUUUCUCACACAGGAAACUUGUUUAUACUGGCAGAUGCCCUUUUGGCUCUUGUCUGACCUGUGUUCAGUUUAUGCCUGCCUGACCAUUGCUCUGGUUCUGGGAGCUCAACUUUGUGCUUCCCCGUCCCAUGUCAGGGAAAGAUAGGCCUGGCGUAGCCCCUGAUUCUUCAGAUGGAAGGUGGGAAUUCAAUACUCCAGCACAAAAGGAAACAAUUAAAAGAUUGUACUUACAAAUCUUGGGCAAGGAAGGUGGGAUGGCAGUCCUCUGUCCUAGGGUCAUGUGAGGCAGAAAUGAAGGAGUCAGGCAGAGAGACAGGGCAUGUGGCAAAUAGUUGUAUGUAUAAGGGAAUACAGUGUGGGUUAUUUUAAGUUCUUAGGCAAAUAUCUGACAGAUUCACUUAAAAGGAAACAGCGGAAGAGUGGGUAGUCCUAUUGAGAGACAGGACUAGCUGGAUUUCCUAAGUCGACUAAGAAUUCCUAAGCCCAGCUGGGGAAGGUUACCACACCCACCUUUAAACGCGGGGCUUGUAACUCAGCUCACACCGGACCCAUCAGGUAGUAAAUAGUGCUCACUAAAAUACCAAUUAGGGUAAAAGCAGGAGGUAAAGAAAUAGUCAAAUCAUCUACUGCCUGAGAGCACCGGGGAGAGACAAUGAUCGGAAAAUAAAUCCAGGCCUUUGUGCCAGCAGGGGCAACCCCCUCUGGGUCCCCUCCCAUUGUAUGUGAGCUCUGUUUUCAUUCUAUUAAAUCUUGCAACUGCACAUUCUUCUGGUCCGUGUUUCUGCCGGCUCAAACUGAGCUUUCGCUCUCCAUCCACCAUGGCUGAACGCCACAGUCGCAGACCUGCCGUUGACUUUCAUCCCUCUGGAUUUGGCAGGGUGUCCACUGAGCUUCUGAUUCAGCGAGGUGCUCAUUGCUGCUCCCAAUCAGGCUAGAGGCUCGCCAUUGUUCCUGCACCGGGAAGUGCCCGGGUUCAUCCUAAUUAGGCUGAACACUAGUCUCUGGGUUCCAUGGUUCUCUUCCGUGACCCACAGCUUCUAAUAGAGCUAUAACACUUACCGCAUGGCCCAAGGUUCCAUUCCUUGGAAUCCCUGAGGCCAAGAACCCCACGUCAGAGAACAAAAGGCUUGCUGCCAUCUUGGGAGCAGCCGGCCCCAUCUUGGGAGUGGCCCACCACCAUCUUGGGAGCUCUAAGAACAAAGACCUGCUGGUAACACUAUCUCUGGCCACCUAUCUCUGGCCUAUCUAUCUCUGGUUCCUAUCUCUGGCCAUGGCUUGAGCCAUUUGGGUGCAGUGAACAGGAAACUGUAAAGAGUGACAGCCCUGCUUCUACAAAAUGGAUGCCAAGUUGUUCCUGCGCGCUCACUCUCUCUCCUGCCACCUUGUGAUGAAGAUGCCUGCUUCCUCUUCUGUCAUGAUUGUAAGUUUCCUGAGGCCUCCCCAGCCAUGUGCAAAUGGAGAAGCCUCAAGUUGAGAGUUUUCUUCCAAUCAGACCACGAUGUGCCAGCCAGGGAGAGGGAAUAUAGCAAGUUACACCUCCUCCCUCCUUAAAUAGCACUUAGUGUAAUUGAUGCCAAGUUAAUCCCUGUGCUGCCAAGAGAAGUGUCCAUGGGGUAGGAACCGCAUGCUGUUUUACCUGUGCUUAAAGAGGAAAGUGUCACGCGUCUCUGAAGAAACAAUGUUGACUGAAAAAUAGCGCCAAGUCUCAAACAAGAUCUUUGUGAAAAAUAAAGCAUGAAGCACAAAAUGAGAGAGUAAGUCUUAUUAUCUAAGAAUUAAAAUGAUGAUUAAGGUGAUUAUCUUUUUCUUCUUUAUUUUUAAAUAGUUUGCAAAAUUAUAACAAUAGGUAUGCAUUAUUUUAUAAUUAUUGACAACAUGGUGUUUUGUAAAACAAAGUGUAUUAUAUGAAGAAUAUUCUCAAUUUUAUUUGGAGCUAUAAAAAACUAUAAGACUAUGCAGAAGCACAAUAAAAUGCUAACAGUGAGUAUCUCUGAAUAGUGGGAUUAUUGCUAAAUUUUAUCCCACUCUCCUUUGCUUUUUAUUAUUGUCUAAAUUUCGUGCAGUGAGUAUAUGCUACCUUUGUAAUUUAAAAAUAAAGUUGGUUAAUUUUCU